CAGCACCUCAAGUGGUCAGGAGGAUUAUUGGGCCUAAAGCAUCCGUAGCCUGCUCUGUAAGUUUUCGGUUAAAUCUAUAUGCUCAACGUAUAGGCUGCCGAAAAUACUGCAGUGCUAGGAAGUGGGAGAGGUAGACGGUACUUGAUAGGAAGGGGUAAAAUCCUUUGAUCUAUCGAUGACCACCUGUGGCGAAGGCGGUCUACCAGAACACGUUCGACGGUGAGGGAUGAAAGCUGGGGGAGCAAACCGGAUUAGAUACCCGGGUAGUCCCAGCUGUAAACGAUGCAGACUCGAUGAUGCAUUGGCAUAUAGCCAGUGCAGUGUCGCAGGGAAGCCGUUAAGUCUGCCGCCUGGGAAGUACGUACGCAAGUAUGAAACUUAAAGGAAUUGGCGGGGGAGCACCACAAGGGGUGAAGCCUGCGGUUCAAUUGGAGUCAACGCCAGAAAUCUUACCCGGAGAGGCAGCAGAAUGAAGGUCAAGCUGAAGACUUUACCAGACAAGCUGAGAGGUGGUGCAUGGCCGUCGUCAGCUCGUGCCGUGAGAUGUCCUGUUAAGUCAGGUAACGAGCGAGAUCCAUACCACUAGUUGCUAUCAUUACUCUCAGGAGUAGUGGAGCGAAUUAGUGGGACCGCUGUAGUAAUAUGGAGGAAGGAAUGGGCCACGGCAGGUCAGUAUGCCCCGAAACUCUGGGGCCACACGCGGGCUGCAAUGGUAGUGACAAUUGGCGCCUAACUCGAAAGAGUGCGGCAAUCCUUAAACGCUACCACAGUUAUGACUGAGGGCUGUAACUCGCCCUCACGAAUAUGGAAUCCCUAGUAACUGCGUGUCAUUAUCGCGCGGUGAAUACGUCCCUACUCCUU
rnacentral:rRNA from 1 species